rnacentral:tRNA from 1 species
AUAUAUAUAUAUAUAUAUAUAUAUAAUAUAUGUAGUUUAAAAUAAAACAUUACAUUUUCAUUGUA